GACGAACGCUGGCGGCGUGCUUAACACAUGCAAGUCGAACGAAGUGGCGAACGGGUGAGUAACGCGUAAUUAACCUGCCCUUCAGAGGGGGACAACAGUUGGAAACGACUGCUAAUACCGCAUACUGAAGGAGGGGAUUGCGUCUGAUUAGGUAGGUGGAGGGGGAACGGCCCACCAAGGCGAUGGUCAGUAGGCGGGACGAGGGGAUGAACGGGCACAGUGGGACUGAGGAACGUCCCAGACAUCUACGGGAGGACGCAGUGGGGAAUCUUCCGCAAUGGAGGAAAGUCUGACGGAGCAACGCCGCGUGAGUGAUGACGGCCUUCGGGUUGUAAAGCUCUGUUAAUCGGGACGCGGUACCGGAAUAGAAAGCAACGGCUAACUACGUGCCAGCAGCCGCGGUAAUUC
rnacentral:rRNA from 1 species